rnacentral:lncRNA from 1 species
GAAUCUUCUGAGAACACUGAUGCGGAAAUAUCUAAUACAGACGAAGAAAGGGAUGCUGUAGUCUCAGUAGGAAGAAAAUUUGAAAACAUUCACCUCCAGAAUCUGAUUGCAGAUGAUGGGCAAAUCUUCAAGAAAGAAAUAGUUCCAGUGGAUGUGAUAGUACAAGGUGAUGAGAGAAAUAUUCCCAAAUGGAUAACGGUAACCUAUUUCUCAUAAGUUAUUUGUUUGAAUAAAAUAAAAGCUCUUUAACUGGGUAGCA